UAUCCUCAUAAGUUAGACGAUAAGAGGUACCAUCUAUUAUUUUUUUAAUAUAGAUGGUGGCACAGAAUCGGAGGCCCCGACUGUUUACUAAAAACACAACACAGUGCAAUCAUUAAUGUGAUAGUAUACUGUGUGAAAUUUGCCCAAUGCCAUUAAUAUAAGAGCGGUCAUAUAUAAAUGUGACUAAUUGAAAAUCUGGUUAAUAGCGGUCUUAACCAUGAGGAUCCUAAGGUAGCAAAAUAAAUUGGCCAUUAAAUGUGGUCCGGUAUCAAUAAUGUAACGAUGGCCUCACUGUCUCUACAACUUGCUCAGUGAAAUUGAAUUACGCGUGCAGAUGCGCGUUACCUC
rnacentral:rRNA from 2 species